GCAGCCCACUUGACCCACACUGCGUCGUCGUCAGUUGCCGCCGCUGGCCUCAAAGGGGGAAAUCUUUGGCGCCGCUUUGCCUCCUGAAUCUUUUCCCCGUCACAUCGCCGCCGUUCCCGCCGGUGACCUGCCGCCUGCCCAACCGGAGUGCGCCGCCGAAAGCUGACCUGUCAUGGAAGAUGAUGAACCUUCGGAUGCAUGCUCACGCACUGAUGAAGAUGGUGCAAAGGGUAGCUGGGACAACAAAAGAAAGUCUACACAAGCAUGUUCUUACCCAAAUAAGAAACAUGGUUUCGUGAUAAAAAAUGAAUGGGAGUGCUUUGUUAUUUGCGUCUUUGCUGCUGUUGUUUUAAUCCUCAUAUAUCUCUUCACUGAGGAAGAUGAGGAGGAAGACGAAGAAGAAGGUGACGAUGAGGAUGAAGACGAGAAGAAGGUCACUGUGGAUUGCUUCAUAGCAACGAAGGCAUGGCUGAGCUUGAGCUUGGCCCAGGGAACACAAACAUCGAAGAAAUCCUUGGUAUGCUUCGAUUAGUACCAGGAUAUGAUGAAGCAGCUGUAAAGGCAAAACAGGAAGCUACAAAAGCAAAGAGACGCCUUGAGUUUUUGUGAGAUCUUAUUAGAUUCUAAUGGUAUCAUAUUAUAUUGCUCAUUGCAAUUCCAAGAAUAUCCGUUGCAUGGAUGGACUUAAAUAGCUUCAAAUUAUUCAGAUCGAGAAGAAUGAAGCUACUUAUCACCUCCAGGAGUUCAAAGUCUCAA